UCCAAGGGGCCUCGGGCGGGCGAGGUGUGGAGCGCUAGGCGGGAGGGCGCCCUGGGGGAAAGGAGGGAGCCGGAGCACGACGGCCCCCGGGGGGGGAGGCCUCCCUCCUGGCCGCCAGGCCCUCGGCGCGGCCCAUUCGGGGCUGCGGGCCAGUGAGCUGUCCAGGUUGGAGAAAGUUCUUCCUGACCCCGGUCCAAUUUAUCAACAUCCUUCUUGAACUGUGGACACCGGAAUUGGACAUAGGAUCUCAGGAGCAGUUGCACCAGUGCCAAAUACAGAGCAGGAGACCCCGCGCAUCCAGCAAAUGCUGCUGCAGAAUUUUUACUGGCCCGAAGACUGACGCAGUACUGCAGGUCCUGUGAGCCCAGCCAGAGGAUGGGAAAGGCUGGGACAAGUGUAAAGCAGCUUUGAGACCCCUGCUACUCACAGGGGAAUCUUUUCAGAAGGUGGCUAUGGACAUAAUGGGGCCCCUCAGUUAGGUGACCCAGUCAGGGAAGAAAUACAUUCUGGUGGUGGUAGAUUUCGCUACUCGCUAUCCCGAGGCAGACACUGUGAUAGAUGUGCUUCUGACCAUGUUCAGCAGGGUGGGGUUCCCCGGGGGGUUGUUACAGACCAGGGGUCCAAUUUCAUGUCUGCCCUGCUCUGGUGCUUGUGGGAGAAAUGUGGGGUCCAGCACACCUGGGCCUCUAUAUAUCACCCUCAAUCCAAUCUGGUGGUGGAGAGGUUUAAUGGGACUUUGAAGAUGAUGCUGAGGACUUACAGACCAGGACCCGCAGAUCUGGGACAAGUACCUACCCCACCUGCUGUUUGCGUACUGGGAAGUGCCACAGGGUUCUCCCCUUUAGAAUUGCUGUAUGGGAGGAGAGUGAGGGUACCUCUGGACUUGAUGAGGGAUGAGUGGGAGGGGAAGGCCUCCCCUGAGGGAGAACUGGUGGUGCAGUAUGUCCUAUCUCUCUCUAGGGAAAGGUUCACUGAAUUGAUGGGUCUGGCCAGGGAGAACUUAGCCAGGGCCCAAGGGAAACGAGGUCUGGUACAACCACAGAGUGUGUGCUGACUCCUAUGGCACCAGGGAAUGGUUUUCAUCCCAGUGCCGAAGAAUAAGCUCCAUCAAGCAGCUAAAUGAGGUGGAACUGUCCAACCAGGCUAACAGCCACCAGUGUACCAUGUCUACAUGAUGAAGCCGUACUUUGACAGGGAGAGGUUGGUACUGGCCGUGUGCGUGCAAUGGGAGAAGGAUGACGAUCCCCUGGUGGAUCUCUUCCCUGAGACAAGAACCAGCCUCCUGCCUGGAAUCAAUUCCUCUCUCUGACCAGCUAACCUCGGGCCCAGCAGGCAGAGAUGGGAGCGGUGCUGUGUUCUUAUCAGCCGCUGUUCUCUAGCAGACUUGGGCUCACUAACCUAGUGGUCCACCAGGUGGAGACAGGAGCCAAACCUGCCAUCAGGUGUUCCCCUGUUCAGUCACUGGGAACACAGCCCAGGCCCUGGAGAGAGAGGUCAAGGACACGCUGGCCCUAGGUGUGAUCCAGGGUCCACCAGCCCAUGAGCCUCAUCUUUUGUGAGGAUGGAUCAAUCAGAUUCUGCACAGACUAUCAGAAUCUUAAUGCCAUCAGCAUGUCUCAUGCCUACCCUAUGCCCAGGACUGAUGAGAUUUCAGACAAAUUAGGGGGGGCAUUACCUCACUACUAUGGAUCUCACCAAGGGUUAUUGGCAGGUGCCUUUGGACCCAGAUGCCAGGUUGAAAUCUGCUCUCAUCACCCCUAUAGGACUCUGAGAUCUUGGUCUUACCUUUCAGCCUCAAGGAGGCACCUGCCACCUUCCAGCACCUGGUGGAUUUGUUACUGAGGGGGAUGGAGGAUUUUGCCCUGGCUUACAUUCAUGGUAUCUGUGUCUUGAGCCAGACCUGGGAGGAACCUGUGUCCCAAGUAAAAAGGGUGCUGGACUGCCUCAAGGAGGCAGGACUGUCUGUAAAAGUGGAAAAGCGUAAAGUGGGGAUGGCAGAGCUGUUGUACCUGGGCCACAAGGUGGGGAGUGGCUGCAUAAGGCCAGAACUGGCCAAGGUGGAAGCGAUCAGAGAUUUGCCUGCUCCCUAAACCAAGAAACAGGCCCAGGCCUUUAUUGGGAUGAUGGGGUGCUACCAAAGGUUUGUACCCCACUUUAGCUCCCUACCAGCUCCCAUCACUAAACUGUGCAAAAAAGGGUAAGCCAGACAAGGUGGUCUGGACCAAGCAGUGCCAGGGACCUCUCUGUUCGUUGAAGGAGGCUCUAAGCCAGAAUCCAGUUCUAGUAAACCCAGACUUUGACAAGCCCUUCCUGGUGUUCACAGAUGCCUCAGACACGGGGCUGGGUGCGGUGCUAAUGCAAGCCAAUGCUAUGGGGGAGAGAGACACAACUGCAUACCUGAGUAAGAAACUGCUGCCCUGGAAGCAGAACUACGCUACCAUGGAGAAAGAAUGCCUGGCCAUUGGAUGGGCCCUUAAAAAGCUGCAGUUGUAUCUAUUUGCGUGGCACUUUACCAUGUAUACUAACCACUGUCCUCUAACGUGGCUACAUCAAAUGAAAAUGGCUAAUGCCACGCUUCUGAGCUGGAGUCUGAUCCUCCAAGAUUGUGAUAAGGAAGUGAUUCAUGUUAGUGGGAGUGCCAAUGUUAUAGCAGAUGUUUUGUCACUGAAAGAGGUAUCUGAACUUCCCCAGGUCACUGGCCAGUGACCCCACUCAGUUCGGUCUCUAAGGGGAAGAGAUGGGACAAAGUGGGAAUUUUUCAUAAUGUUUUGUAUGAAUAAUGGGUGUGCCCUAUAUGCUGCAUAGUUAACUGGGUCGGGGGGAAAAUGGUGUUUAUUUUUUGCGGAGACACAGAGAACAGGUCAUUGGAAAAGGACUGGCUAAAGCCAACUCUGUAUCAAUGGAGAAUCCAAAAGGAUAAUGGCAAAUCCAGUCAUCAGGGCAUUGAUACCUAACAGCCAGCAUCCCAGAGAGAGCUGGAUUUCCCGACCUCUCAGCAGGGGAGCUGAGCAGAACCCUGAGCUGGAAAACAAAGGAUGGUGAGGUGGGGGGUAAGAGCCGGCUCUGGAAGGAGAUGGGGCUCUCAUCUGGGGACUGACCAAGGAGAUCAGACGGGGAGAGAGACAGAGCCUGGCCAUGGGGAUCACUCCAGUUUGGCUGGGCCUGGGCUGACCAGGCCAGACGAUGCUUUAAGCGCCAUGUCUUGGCAAUAACCUGGGGAUGUCCCAUGCUGGGCUCCAGGGACCAAUAAACCCAACUGUUCUGCCAGGCAUCCCUGCAAAUGCUGCUGGGGGUGUCAGAAGUUCCGUCUCGGAGGCAAGGAGGCCACAUGGCUGGCCCUGGAGGAUGAGGGAGACCCCUGUGGGGCCUAGCCCACUGACGGGUUCCUCCAAGAGGCUGUUCCAAAGCUGGGGGUGUACCCUGAUUCUGGGGCUCUGUGACAGCCCUUUAGUCCAUUGGAAACAGUGGGGUGGUUGGGCUGGAGGGAAGUCAGAGUGAGUGUCUGUGUUUGAGGAGAGGGCCCUGGGGGGACUUGG